UACGUAGGUGACAAGCGUUGUCCGGAUUUACUGGGCGUAAAGAGCGCGCAGGCGGUCGUUCAAGUCGAGUGUGAAAGCCCCCGGCUCAACUGGGGAGGGUCAUUCGAUACUGAUCGACUCGAAGGCAGGAGAGGGUAGUGGAAUUCCCGGUGUAGUGGUGAAAUGCGCAGAUAUCAGGAGGAACACCAAUGGCGAAGGCAGCUCGCUGGAACGGUACUGACGCUGAGGCGCGAAAGCGUGGGGAGCAAACAGG
rnacentral:rRNA from 1 species